rnacentral:misc_RNA from 1 species
GGUAUUUUUGAGUGCUGGCUUCACCCUGCACAAUAUCGAACACGUCUGUGCAAAGAUGAGACUAGUUGUGCAAGAAGGGUUUGUUUUUUUGCUCACAAGCCUGAAGAGCUUCGGCCCUUGUAUGCCUCAACGGGUUCGGCUGUGCCUUCACCUAGAUCCUUCUCAGCCAAUGUUUCAGCGCGGGACAUAGGUUCUAUCAGUCCACUUGCUCUUGGUUCUCCAUCUAUCUUGAUACCAGCUACUUCAACACCACCGAUGACUCCCUCUGGGUCCUCAUCUCCUAUGGGUGGAUGGCCAAACCAGUCUAAUAUUAUACCUCCUACCUUGCAGCUUCCUGGUAGCAGGUUGAAAUCUGCACUGAGUGCUAGAGAUCUGGAUUUAGACAUGGAGUUGCUUGGGCUUGAUAGUCACCAUCGCUGGCAACAACAAUUGAUGGAUGAGAUAUCUGGUCUCUCCUCACCCUCCAGUUGGAAUAAUGGUUUGUCUACUGGUUCAGCUUUUGCCGUCUCUGGUGAUCGAACUAUAGAGUUGAAUAGGCUUGGACGAGUGAAGCCAACUAACCUUGAAGAUAUUUUUGGAUCUC